AGUGAACGCUGGCGGUAGGCCUAACACAUGCAAGUCGAACGGCAGCACAGUAAGAGCUUGCUCUUACGGGUGGCGAGUGGCGGACGGGUGAGGAAUACAUCGGAAUCUACUUUUUCGUGGGGGAUAACGUAGGGAAACUUACGCUAAUACCGCAUACGACCUACGGGUGAAAGCAGGGGAUCUUCGGACCUUGCGCGAUUGAAUGAGCCGAUGUCGGAUUAGCUAGUUGGCGGGGUAACGGACCACCAAGGCGACGAUCCGUAGCUGGUCUGAGAGGAUGAUCAGCCACACUGGAACUGAGACACGGUCCAGACUCCUACGGGAGGCAGCAGUGGGGAAUAUUGGACAAUGGGCGCAAGCCUGAUCCAGCCAUACCGCGUGGGUGAAGAAGGCCUUCGGGUUGUAAAGCCCUUUUGUUGGGAAAGAAAAGCAGCAGGUUAAUACCCCGCUGUUCUGACGGUACCCAAAGAAUAAGCACCGGCUAACUUCGUG
rnacentral:rRNA from 1 species